AAAAAAACUAAGUGGAAGAGGGCCGUAAUCAUAUUUGUUAGAAUUUUUCAUGCGAAAAUAUUUAUUUCAUUGUAUCAAUUGUAGUAUUGUGAUUCAUGAUGGAUUUUAAUGAGAAACUUCAAGUUGCUUGUUCAAGUUGUCUACGCACUAAGUAGGAACAAGACAAUUAAUUAGGCCGUGGUGCAAUAAGGUCAGUGGUCCAAUUCAUAAUCCUAAUCAUUGCUGGUGUGAGGUAGACUUGUAGUGCUCCUUACCAUUCAUAUCUUGAUAGAAAAAGAAAAAGAAAUGCCCUCAUUCUCUUCAAUUCUAUCUGAACACAUUUAGAGAUCAAUUAAAUUUUUCUUUGCUUCUUGGAAGAUUCUCUGUGAGUGACUUGUCUUUUUUGACCUUGAUUCGGCCUCGCUUGGUAACAUUUUCUCUCUAUCAAUUCUUUCAUCUCCUAUGUAAGAAUUUCUUAGCUCCCGGAGAUUUAAUUAUCUUGUUCCUGUAUUAUUCCAAAUAAAAAAAUGUUCUUCAUCAAAAAGUAUAUACAUAAACUUUCUUGGUUUCUGAGUUCUUGAUUUUUCUGCGUUUGGUCUCCAAAUAUGAAGAUGAAGAUGAAGAAGAUCUCAGGAAGAAACAUAGCAAUGAUAGUUCUUGUGGUCGCACUCAUUGCUUUGAUGGUAAAUUCAGGGGCUGCUCAAAGGGGCGGAGGCAGAGGAGGAGGUGGAGGUGGCAGGGGGG
rnacentral:misc_RNA from 1 species